UGACAAUCACUGCUCAGUGCACUGUGACUCUGAACACCACCAUAGAGCGGGCAGAUCUGUGGAUUUCCAUGACAGUACUUCCAUAUCCCUUGGUCCAUUGAUGUGGUCUGAUGGUAACAAAGAUACGCCGAUGCCACGCCAAGUGCUAGUAUCCAGGGCUCCAUGUCUGUUGGGUUCUCUGACUAUAUCACUUAUUUCUCUGAUGAGUCUCCUGAUAUUCUGCUAGGAUAUUUCCACUGACAAUCAACCUAAUGUUUUAACACAUCUAUUCUUAUAUUUUUAUUAUAUCUCUUUCUCGAUGAAUGUGACACUGAUGCCAAACUGUUACAAGCUUUCUAUAAAUGUGACCUUUGGGUGAUUGUUGAAAAUCACAACCUUUAAACUCUUUUAUAAAUCAAACAGUCUUAUUACUAUUGUGAGGAUAAAGCAUAUUAAAUAAUGAGAUAAAACAAAUCACAAUAAACUGAUUUUCUCUGUGCUUUG